GAUGAAGAACGUAGCGAAAUGCGAUAAGUAAUGCGAAUUGCAGAUUUCAGUGAGUCAUCGAAUCUUUGAACGCACAUUGCGCCCGCCAGUAUUCUGGCGGGCAUGCCUGUUCGAGCGUCAUUUCAACCCUCAAGCCCUGCUUGGUGUUGGGGAUCGGCGUUGCCUCCUCCGUCGUUCGCGGCGGGGUGAGGUCGCCGCCCCCGAAAUGAAUUGGCGGUCUCGUCGCAGCUUUCCUUUGCGUAGUAACAUACCACCUCGCAACCAGGAGCGCGGCGCGGCCACUGCCGUAAAACGCCCAACUUUUUCAAGAGUUGACCUCGAAUCAGGUAGGAAUACCCGCUGAACUUAAGCAUAUCAAUAAGCGGAGGA
rnacentral:misc_RNA from 1 species